rnacentral:lncRNA from 13 species
AUCUCAUUCUAUUUUAUGGCUGCAGAUUUUCUCUAAAUAUAUUGCACCAAUAAGAAAUCGGUGAGUGAACACUGGUAACUGGUGGCCCAUGGCAAUAGAAUAUUCAUGAGCUGGUCCCCUUCUCCCUUUCAAAGGUCAGGCCUGGUCAGGAGUGAAGAGCAGAGGGGGAAUAGGAAAGUUCUCACGUGGAAGAAGCACCUGGCAUUUACUCUAAGAAAAAGGAUGUUUCCUAAACAGCGAGGCUGUUUUGUUUAGCGAAUCGAAUUCUUCACUGUUUUGGGCCAAAUACACUUUGUUUUCUAAAGCAGAGUCUACUAUUACAGCUGUUCCACAUAAAGCUGAUGCCAUUGUCUUCAUCUCAGCCCCACUGGGAGCGUGCUUCUGCUCUGUGUUCCAAGCAGCAAUAAUGGAUUUAUGGAGAUAUUCACAUACUUCUCCCUAGCCCCUCCCAAUCCCCAGCAGGGUCCCAUUGUUACAGCAUCGCUGGUCAACAUCUCCACACUCUAACAUGCAUCCUGAGCCAAAUGGACCGCUGGUUCCUGACUCAGGUCUAUGAUCUUGGUGUUAUCAACACCAAGUCUAUGAUCUUGGUGUUAUCAACACACCAAGUGUGUCAUCAACACACUAGUCUCAAUAAAUGAGCCAGGCAGCCUCAGAGAAAUGUGGAUUGAUAUAGGAUAAAGCCUUUACACCUUGUGAAGGGAGAGUCUGGUGUUCCUAGAACCAAGGCAUGAGAAAGCUGGUUGAACUGAAUUCCAAGAAGCUGCCAGCAGUUUGGCUCCAGUUGAAGACUUGGGAUUUUCCUGAAGAUAGAAUUCACCUUGGAGUCAGAGUCAGUUGGAAUGCCUCCAUAUCACCACUUCCACUUCCAAGACGAGAUGAGUUCCCAGUCCAUCGUUGCAUUAUCUACCAGCUUUCUGCUGCAGCUCCAGUUUCUGCCAAACAAAAGUUUAGAUAACUUUUGAGGUUUCUUCCAGUCCUGGGAGGCUAUGAUUCAGUCUUGUCUUCUAGCAAAACUACACGCCAAUAACCUUUUAGAUACCAUCUUGAUCUUCAUGACACUGACUCAUAAACUUAA